rnacentral:rRNA from 1 species
UGACCUGCGGAGGGAUCAUUGCUGGAACGCGCCCCAGGCGCACCCAGAAACCCUUUGUGAACUUAUACCUUACUGUUGCCUCGGCGCAUGCUGGCCCCCUCGGGGUCCCUCGGAGACGAGGAGCAGGCACGCCGGCGGCCAAGUUAACUCUUGUUUUUACACUGAAACUCUGAGAAAAAACACAAAUGAAUCAAAACUUUCAACAACGGAUCUCUUGGUUCUGGCAUCGAUGAAGAACGCAGCGAAAUGCGAUAAGUAAUGUGAAUUGCAGAAUUCAGUGAAUCAUCGAAUCUUUGAACGCACAUUGCGCCCUCUGGUAUUCCGGAGGGCAUGCCUGUUCGAGCGUCAUUUCAACCCUCAAGCAUUGCUUGGUGUUGGGGCACUGCCUGUAAAAGGGCAGGCCCUGAAAUCUAGUGGCGAGCUCGCCAGGACCCCGAGCGCAGUAGUUAAACCCUCGCUUUGGAAGGCCCUGGCGGUGCCCUGCCGUUAAACCCCCAACUUUUGAAAAUUUGACCUCGGAUCAGGUAGGAAUACCCGCUGAACUUAAGCAUAUCAAAA